UAGAGAAGCUUUGCUGUUUUACAGAUGAAGGACUGAGACAGAGAGAAAAAUGCUUUGUCCAAAAGCAAAAAGGAAAGCUGUCUCAGAGAUGGGCUAAACCAAAGGGCAUGUUUUCAUUACACUUCAGGCAAUGAGCAGCCAGACUACGAAGCCACGCCCAGGCCGCUUGUGUUCUUCCACAUCUGCUGCUGUAACUUUGGGAAGUUUAUCCCCUGCUUUUUUGUAUUACGGUAAAGUAAGCUCCUUCACUUCUUUCCACUAUGGAAUAACUUAUCGAUAUUGGGCAAACAGGACAAAAUGUGUAAUGAACUUUGAUGGACAGGACAGACACAAAGAAUAACUCAACAGAACUUUCACUAGAAUGCUAAAUGGCACUCUAGGAAACAGGAACUUG